GAUAAUAUAUCUUUGCGAAGUUUGCAAUUUUCAGUCAUUUUAGAUUAUAAACGGGAAAUGGUUACCACUUCUGUGCGUAUAAUUUAAAUACAAAAUGACUGAAAAUUGCAAACUUCGCAAGGAUAUAUUAUCCGAAUUUU